rnacentral:lncRNA from 1 species
CCUCACACGCCUACUAUCCACUUUCGCCUGAGACCGCAGCCAGCACAGGGCUCAGUUUUUUAUUUUAUUUUUUAUUUGCUUUGCUUGCUUUGGGUCUUUCCCUCUUGUACAGUGAGACGAGUCCCAUUUCACCCCUCCUCUGCAUAGAGAGCGCCCCUGAAAACAUAGGCCCUGGAUUGUCCCUGCAUCAGACUGCAUGCUACCAAUUGAUUUGUGCAUCUACUCCUCCCUAUUAUUUUAGCUCUUUAUAAAAAAAAUUGCUCUCUACCUUUAAUGUAAAAUUCGGUUCAUUUUGAGUAAUUUCUUCACAUACCCAUUCUGGAAGAGAGGACGAAGAAAAGAAGAAAACGCUCACGGAAUGGACAGAUGAAAGGGGACAGCAGAAAAAAAGAGUGAGAAAAUGGAGAGCAUGUUCUGUGGGAGAGCAAGAGAGGAAUGCUGUGGUCUACUCUUGUCUUGAGUCCGUGGAAACUUCCCACUAAGGAGGAACAAUGGAAAGAAUUUCAAUCCAGCCUCAGUAAGGUGACACAGAUUUAUGAGGGGAGGAGGUCAGAGAUGGAGGCGCUGGCUGGUGUUUGUGGAAGGGGGUUGUGGAAGUAUGGCUGUAAGUACAGCAGUAAUGGCAUCAAUGCAAUUGUCUGUGUGUACCUGUCUCACACAAUGGCUGCUUGGACUCUAAUCGCCCGGAGAAUUAGGGAUCUGACUUGGCACAUGGAGACAGCCAUUAACAGAGCCAGGGACAGAGCCUGUGAGAGGGAUAGGAGAAGGAGAGAGAGACAGCUGGGGGAGUAGAACGGGCACCUUUUUCAUGUUACUGUCUAGGCUACA